GGGGGCCUCGGCUCGCGGCUCCACGGGGCUCGCCAGGAGGGGGUGGCGCCGGCCCGACGGCUGGGGGCUGCGGGGGACCGGGCGCGGGUGUCAGUCGGUCUGCCUCGGUGCGGGACUCGCCUAAGUUGCUGCAAACAGAAGAGCUGCAGUGUUUGGGGAGCUGCUGCUGACAUUCCGACACCGACACCGACACCGAGCAACUUUCACUCCCAGACAACUACUUUAAGGUCUCAUCUGCCUGAGAAUCUUCUCUGAACGUUAUUCUGGAGUCCAUCAUGUCUUAGUUGAAAGAAAGAAAAUUGAAGAUUAACCUCAGUGGUCCAAGGACUCUAAGAUCAUAAAAAAGAAAUCUUCAAAGUAUUCCCAUUGUACGGAUGCCCCUAAAUUUAUCAACUCAAUGAUAAACAUGUGCCGCUAUAACUACAGGAUGUUUCUAGUUCAGCAGCCUGAUCUCAACACUGAAAAGGAUCAGAAAUUCUAGAAGAUGGAUUCCAGUCUCCAUAAAAUUCAAUCUAAAGAGCCCCCCCCCCCAAGCCCCCACCAUCACAUACACACUCAUGGAUUUAGAUUUCCAUGACUUCUAGUUAGGACUCUUUACCCCUGAAAUUGUAUGUAUUCAUUUUUUAAUACAUUAUAUAGUUAUAAGUUUCAAAAAUUAAAAUAUAUUUAAGAAGUCUUUGGAAAAAAAUCUCCCUCCAUCCUUGUCUCUUAUCUACCAGUUUUCUCCUCAUAGCCUUUAUUUACUAUGGUAAUUUAUUUUUUGUUUGUUUUUCCAGAGAUUGUAAUGCAUAUGCAACUAAAUAUUAAUACAAAUUCCUUUCCCGCGACCCUUUUUAAUCCCAUUUCUAGUCAGCUAUUCACAUUCUUCUGUUCCUUUUUUUUUUCUACACAACUAUACAUUAUGGAGAGAUUUAUAUUAUAAGUUCUUAAAGAAACUUAUUCCUUUUAAUGGAUUUAGAGUUCUCUACUAUGUGGAUGAAAUCAAUUCUCCAUGAAUGAUGAACAUUUAGGUGGAUUCUUGUUUGCGCUUCAGACACUGCUGUACUGAAUAACCUUAUUCAUGCCUCAUCUUGAAUUUAUGGAUAUAUAUCUGCCGGACAAACUACACAAAGCAUAACUGCUAGGUCAAAGGAUACAUGUAUUUGCAAUUAAGCAAAUAUGUCUAAUUUGCAUCCCUUAGGGAUUGUUAAAUUUACACUCUUCCCAGUAAAAUAAAAUAUUUGCCCCCAACUUGACUAACAUAGUUUUAGUUUUAUUUUUUAUCAAUAGGUGGAAAAUACUAUCUUAGUUUUAAUUCACAUCUUUACUAUGAAAGAGGUUGAAAAACUCUUAAUAUGCAGCAUUAGAAAUGAUUAUGGGCAAAAAACAAAACAAAACAAAAAAACAAACAAAAACAAAAGAUACCUCAACCUGGCUUUAGAAAAGGGGAUAAAAGGAGAGCCUUGGUGGCUCAGCCAGUUAAAAACAUCGCCUUCAGCUCAGGUCAUGAUCCCAGGGUCCUGGGAUCCCAGGAUCCUGGGAUGGAGCCCCACCUUGGGCUCCCUGCUCAGAGAAGAGUUGGCUUCCCUCUGCCACUCCCCCUGCUUAUGCACUCUUUCUGUCAAAUAAAUAAAACCUUAAAAAAAAAAGAAAUGAAAAAAGAUGUAUUGACUUUAUAACUGAAAACUCAGGGAUAAAUUCAGAGCUUCCAGUAUGCCUGGAUCCAAAGGUUCAAACAAUCCUCACCCCUAACAUGCCCUACUGCCAACUCUCAGAAAAAAAGAAAAAUGAAGAACCAAACAAAAGAUUCUCAAUGUGUCCUGUAGGUGCCACCAUUGCCACAGGAUUUUUUUUUUUCAGCUGCGCAACAUGCAUCUCUUUAAAGCUAAGAUUCUAGAAGAUGGAAGAAAGCCUGCUCAUUCAAUUUAGGCUAGCUAAUAUUCCAGCACCGGCAUUCCACAUAUAACUUAGAAUUCCAGAACCCCAUUCUGUUGUUGUAUCUUUCUUUUUCAAAAAUACAUGUUGAAAAUAUUUGUGAAGUGUUUGUAUAGUUCCAAAAUUGUUUAAUACAAUAAAAUAGGUGGUAUAUAGUGAAAAAAAAAUCCCCCUCUGAAUCUAUCUUCUAAAUAUUAUGUUCUACUGCCCCAUUCUGUGGAUAGCUACUCUUCUCAGUUUCUUUUCUGUCUUUCCUGAAAUAUUCAUACACAUACAACUAUGAAGAU